GUCACCGCAUGGUGGCGUGUGGAAAGGGUUUUACUGGUUUUGGAUGGGCUCACGGCCUAUCAGCUUGUUGGUGGGGUAAUGGCUCACCAAGGCGACGACGGGUAGCCGGCCUGAGAGGGUGACCGGCCACACUGGGACUGAGACACGGCCCAGACUCCUACGGGAGGCAGCAGUGGGGAAUAUUGCACAAUGGGCGAAAGCCUGAUGCAGCGACGCCGCGUGAGGGAUGACGGCCUUCGGGUUGUAAACCUCUUUCAGCACGGAAGAAGCGAAAGUGACGGUACGUGCAGAAGAAGCGCCGGCUAACUACGUGCCAGCAGCCGCGGUAAUACGUAGGGCGCAAGCGUUGUCCGGAAUUAUUGGGCGUAAAGAGCUCGUAGGCGGUUUGUCGCGUCUGCUGUGAAAGCCCGGGGCUUAACCCCGGGUGUGCAGUGGGUACGGGCAGACUUGAGUGCAGUAGGGGAGACUGGAAUUCCUGGUGUAGCGGUGAAAUGCGCAGAUAUCAGGAGGAACACCGAUGGCGAAGGCAGGUCUCUGGGCUGUUACUGACGCUGAGGAGCGAAAGCAUGGGGAGCGAACAGGAUUAGAUACCCUGGUAGUCCAUGCCGUAAACGUUGGGCACUAGGUGUGGGGAACAUUCCACGUUUUCCGCGCCGUAGCUAACGCAUUAAGUGCCCCGCCUGGGGAGUACGGCCGCAAGGCUAAAACUCAAAGGAAUUGACGGGGGCCCGCACAAGCGGCGGAGCAUGCGGAUUAAUUCGAUGCAACGCGAAGAACCUUACCAAGGCUUGACAUACACCGGACCGGGCCAGAGAUGGUCUUUCCCCCUUGUGGGGCUGGUGUACAGGUGGUGCAUGGUUGUCGUCAGCUCGUGUCGUGAGAUGUUGGGUUAAGUCCCGCAACGAGCGCAACCCUCGUUCUAUGUUGCCAGCACGUGAUGGUGGGGACUCAUAGGAGACUGCCGGGGUCAACUCGGAGGAAGGUGGGGAUGACGUCAAAUCAUCAUGCCCCUUAUGUCUUGGGCUUCACGCAUGCUACAAUGGCCAGUACAAUGGGUUGCGAUGCCGCGAGGUGGAGCUAAUCCCAAAAAGCUGGUCUCAGUUCGGAUCGUGGUCUGCAACUCGACCACGUGAAGUCGGAGUCGCUAGUAAUCGCAGAUCAGCAACGCUGCGGUGAAUACGUUCCCGGGCCUUGUACACACCGCCCGUCAAGUCACGAAAGUUGGUAACACCCGAAAGC
rnacentral:rRNA from 1 species